CAUCUAAAUGACCAUCCUCCAGCACAGCACAAAGCAUCUAAAUGACCAACAGCUACCGAGUGCAACAUCAACCCAUGUACCAGCUCACUGCAGUAGCCCGUGCACCAGCUCACUGUAGCCCAACAAAGAACCCAGUCCAUAGAAGGACACACUACUGAGGACUCAACCAAAAUCAGUCCAUAGCAAUAUUCGAUUUCAAUCUACAGCUUCCAGCAACCUUGAACAACAACAGCAGCUCACCAGUCCGCAGCAGGGCCCACAAUCA
rnacentral:lncRNA from 1 species